rnacentral:rRNA from 1 species
AGAGCGAACGCUGGCGGCAGGCUUAACACAUGCAAGUCGCACGGGCAGGGGUAACUCUGUCAGUGGCGGACGGGUGAGUAACGCGUAGGUAUCUAUCCUCGGGUGGGGGGACAACCACGGGAAACUGUGGCUAAUACCGCAUGAUGACUGAGGUCCAAAGGCGCAAGUCGCCUGGGGAGGAGCCUGCGUCCGAUUAGCUUGUUGGUGGGGUAAAGGCCUACCAAGGCUCCGAUCGGUAGCUGGUCUGAGAGGAUGAUCAGCCACACUGGGACUGAGACACGGCCCAGACUCCUACGGGAGGCAGCAGUGGGGAAUAUUGGACAAUGGGCGAAAGCCUGAUCCAGCAAUGCCGCGUGGGUGAAGAAGGUCUUCGGAUUGUAAAGCCCUUUCGACGGGGACGAUGAUGACGGUACCCGUAGAAGAACGCCCGGCUAACUUCGUGCCAGCAGCCGC